rnacentral:rRNA from 1 species
GGGCCCGCACAAGCGGUGGAGUAUGUGGUUUAAUUCGAUGCAACGCGAAGAACCUUACCAGGGUUUGACAUCCUGCGAAUCUCUUGGAAACGAGAGAGUGCCUUCGGGAACGCAGUGACAGGUGGUGCAUGGCUGUCGUCAGCUCGUGUCGUGAGAUGUUGGGUUAAGUCCCGCAACGAGCGCAACCCACGUCUUUAGUUGCCAGCAUUUAGUUGGGCACUCUAGAGAGACUGCCGGUGAUAAACCGGAGGAAGGUGUGGAUGACGUCAAGUCAUCAUGCCCCUUACAUCCUGGGCUACACACGUACUACAAUGGCAUUUACAGAGGGCUGCAAGUUCGCGAGGACAAGCAAAUCCCAUAAACCGUGGCUCAGUUCAGAUCGUAGGCUGCAACUCGCCUACGUGAAGGCGGAAUCGCUAGUAAUCGCAGGUC